rnacentral:rRNA from 1 species
AUUGAACGCUGGCGGCAGGCCUAACACAUGCAAGUCGAACGAGUGGCGGACGGGUGAGUAAUGUCUGGGAAACUGCCCGAUGGAGGGGGAUAACUCCUGGAAACGGUAGCUAAUCCCGCAUACCAUUCGAUAUGCCCAGAUGGGAUUAGCUAGUGGUGUGGGUAACGGACCACCUAGGUGACGAUCCCUAGCUGGUCUGAGAGGAUGACAAGCCACCCUGGAACUGAGACACGGUCCAUAAUCCGACGGGAGGCAGCAGUGGGGAAUAUUGCACAAUGUGCGCAAGCCUGAUGCAGCCAUGCCGCGUGUCUGAAGAAGGCCUUCGGGUUGUAAAGUACUUUCAGCGAGGAAGCGUUACUCGCAGAAGAAGCACCGGCUAACUCCGUGCCAGCAGCCGCGGUAAUAC